rnacentral:rRNA from 1 species
CGACACAGGUGGUCGGGUAGAGAAUACCAAGGCGCUUGAGAGAACUCGGGUGAAGGAACUAGGCAAAAUGGUACCGUAACUUCGGGAGAAGGUACGCUCUUGAUGGUGAAGUCCCUUGCGGAUGGAGCUGACGAGAGUCGCAGAUACCAGGUGGCUGCAACUGUUUAUUAAAAACACAGCACUGUGCAAAAUCGUAAGAUGACGUAUACGGUGUGACGCCUGCCCGGUGCCGGAAGGUUAAUUGAUGGGGUUAGACUUC